rnacentral:misc_RNA from 1 species
UUAGGAUCAGUUUCGUCUCGUCUCCCACGCACGUUGCUCGUCUUUGUAGAUUUCAAUUAAGAAUUUUUACGGUGAAAUCAUGAAGCAUAAGUUAACGAACCAACAAGUGAGUCAGAUCCUUCACGUGGGUGUUUAUUUUAAAACAUGUCGAAGAAAAAAAGCAAGCAUGACAGAAGAGUAUAAAAAUAAACUACGUAGUGCAGCUGACACUUUCCUGAGUGACUGGAUUGUAAAUGGGGUUCCAUUUGAAAUGUUGGAGAAGAUAAAGAGCUCAUCACCAAGUUUAAUAACGCUUUUCCGUCUUAAGCAGCGACCGUUACCAAAUAUUGGCAACAAUAUUGGUAUUGAAAAUUCCCAAUCAUCAUUGCUAAAUUGCUCAGCAGCUGCAAGACUAUUGUCAAGUAACGAAGAGGCACAAUAUAGGUCAUCCAACUGUAACAUUGAUUCCAUGCCUAAUAACCAGCCCAAAGCUUUUGGAAAUAAUGCAUCAUCCAUUAUGGAAGAGCCUCAACAGUGUGAUCAAGAACAACCGGACACAAAUCAGAUAAAGAUGCCACAAGCAAUCAUCCUUCCUUAAUAGUUGAUUCUGAAGAAGAUGUGGAAGACGAAGGAGGAGUACCUGUUGCUUUCUUGGGUCCAGAUAACAAUAGCUGGACCGACCAAAAUCUCAGCCUUAAGACAAUACUUCAACAUUAUGCUGUAUACACAGACACGAAACUGAGUCACAUGACCUAUUUACUCGGGCUGUUAAUCUUUCACAAACCUUUACCGGACUAUUACUGUUUGCCGAGUACUGGAGAACAACUGCUGCAUAUAGACGGGAGGGAUUUUGUCGGUUUAUCAUCGGACAUGGAAGCUACUUUGGAUGAAGAAAACAAUGUCCAGGAAGAAACCUCGACGGAUAAUCAGCCCUUAAGACGAAAAAAAAAACCCACUGCCGGCCACAGUUGAUUUGCAUGACGGCUACGGAAAUGUCGUGAAGUACAUGCAUUUUGGGCUUGAAUCAGCUCUUAAAGGAGAUUCACCCGGUCUAUAUUUCAAGCACUCCAACCUUCUUCAAUAUGCAUCGAUUUAUGCGACUAAACCGGAACUUUUACCAGAUAGUAUCAGGAAGAAGAUUGAGACUUUUGACAGUGACCUUCAAAUUAGAAAGGCAAAAGAGUCACUACUACGGUCAGCCGAAAAUAUCGUUCCAGAAGUGCUGAAUGAAGCAAACAUACGCGCAAUCCCUCACUUUACAAUCGAUUUCAGCUUGGAUGGUGUACAGAUUUUCCACAAUUCAGAACAGUCUGAAUGUAUACCAAUAAUGGUUGCAGUUCACGCAAUAAACAAAGCCAACUGCGAAAUCACUCGUACGUCAUCUGUUUAAUGAGCUCAGCCGACUAUGCCCUGACAACCGCAAUCCUAAGGAAACAGCUGGUCGUGAAUUUACAGUAUCGCUAAGAUGUGCCGUAGCUGACUGGAUUUUUCGAGCGUUUUUAAAAACUAUAAAAGGCCCUACUGGAUUUUGGUGUUGCGAGCGAUGCAUCCAGCGCGGGGUAUGUUGCGCUUUACCCCGACCCAAAAAUUCCCAAAAAAAAGAGUCAAAAACCGUGCAACUGAGAGAUCUGAAUGCUCCACGACGUCUGAAUGAAGAUUUCUUAAAGUAUGUAAAAAGUGACGAUUGUUCAGAUGAACAUCUUCUAGGUCUGAACGAUCUGUCUCCUUUUAUUGACAUAAAUUUUCCUGUGGUUUCCGGAUUCAGCAUAGAUGCCAUGCACACAAUGUAUGCCGGGUGCCUUAGGCGAAGGUUAAUUGGAAUUGUUUCACUAACAACAGAAGGAAAAUUGAAUAGUACUAGUUUAGCUGCUGUUAAUACCAGAUUGAAGCUUUUCGAAAAAUGCAAACCAUCCGAAUUCGAGAGACAUGUUCGCUCUCUGUCUAAUUGUAUUGAGAAAUAUAAAAUGCAUGAGCUUCGGGAUUUUCUAAUGUACAACCUUUUCCCUGUUUUUUCUGGAAUCCUUCAAGGUAACCAGUUAGAAAACAUAAUGCUAUUGCAGUAUGGCAUGUUGUUGUUGGGUGGGUUUGAUCCAAAGCCAGUUCCAACCGCAGAUAUUUUGGAAGCUACGCGCGUUUUUUAAUUAUACGUUCAACAAAUAAUCGAUUUUGGUUAUCCUGUUCGACCCACCAUUCACGCUAUUAUACAUCUGCCAGAGGAUGCGAACAAUUUUGAAUGUGGAGUUGAAUGCCAGAGCGCAAUUUUGUAUGAAAAUUUUUAUCGUUUUUUCCGCAGAAGUCUAAGAUCCGGUAGUAAGCCAUUGGAACAGUAUAGAAACCAGCUUGUUCGGCGUAGUAAAUAUUUAUUACAAACCGCGUCUGACGGGACAAUAUUAGAGACGGGACAGCAAUUCAAAAUGGAAGUAAAAAAACGAGAGCUAGAACGGUCCGAUAGAAAAAUAGUUCUAAACUUUUCCAUUCGUAACGCCAAAAGUGACAACCACCAUAAAGUUAUGAAAUUCCCAGAAUUUUCCUUGUCCAACAUGUUCCCAAUUAAUGUUUGCAUGUUAAAAAAUGGAAAAAUUGUGGUGUGUACUGAUAUAGUUGAAUAUCCGAAAGGAAGCAAGAUAUUUAGUAUCGUGGGUUUCAGAUUUCUAACUGUCGAAAACGCAUUUGCAACACCAUACCCAUCUUAUAAAUUCAAAACACAUGUUGUAUCUAAAUUGGAUCAUGCAGUUGAUGAAUGGAAUGUGAAUAGCAUUAUGUGUAAAAUGUAUGCUAUGCCGCUUAAAUUGUCUGAUUAUGGUAGUUUACCGGACAUUACAGUGUCUCUCUCAUCUGUUAAAUGGGUUGUCACACCAGUUAGACAUACGUUAUAAAUUUUUCCGUGGUAACUAGUAUUUAAUAAACAAAUUUUCAAAAUGAC